AUCAAAUAAACACGGUCCACUACACGGUCCAUUCUUGUGAACAAUUCAUAUCCCCCCUCUAUAAUUAAUAAAAUUUUAUAUAAUAAAAAUCAGAUUUUAAAUCAUAGGUCGACCACCAUACCCGCUCUGGAUCAAGAGUUAAGUACCACUCCUCGCGAAGAGGUUAACAUUAUUUUUAGUUGUCUUCCAUUCAUAAAAGACUUGACUCCCAAAUUGGUUCGCUCCUCUUAAAUUCGUUCAAAAAGGCUCCUCUUAAAUUGUUUAGAAACCCUCAGCCUAUCGCAGGAUUUCAGGUACUGUGCGUGGUGCGUGCACCCACAGUUUGGCAUUGCAAAGCUAGCCUUGUCUCUUGGUUGGUUCGCUGUUCCCCUCACACUAUCACUUGCCUUACUAAUUGUCUUGGGGGUUUUUGGUUAACCACUAAAAACCUUUAAGUCAAAGAAAAUUCGAAUUAUUAGAAUUUUUACACUAACAGUGUGUCGACUUUCGAGCACUCAUACAAUUCUCACCCAUCGCGUGGUGAUGAGUUGUUGUGUAGGUGGUGGGUGGGACGGUGGUUUCCACCCGGAGAUUUUUUGUCUCAUUUCGUUGUUUAUGUACGCAACGGAAUUUUGACCAUAUCUUUUAUAGAUGCUAUGUAAUUUGCUAAUCGCCCCUUCCCAGUCCCUCUCGGACUGUUUCAAGGUGUAUGCACUAAUACGUUUCCAGUGCAUAUUACCAUAACAGGUGCCUGUGUGCACUUGUUUUUUGUCUCUUUUUUUACCCUCCCUUGGUUCCUUCAGAACCAACGGUGGUUUUACCUUUGAUUAAAUGUUUUUUAAUAAUAAGCAAUUUGCGUGGAGUGCACUGUCAGUUUGGUGCAUUGCCUUUUCUUGGAUUGUCCAAGCCGCACAUUGUCUUUACCUUGUCACUCAACUGUCUUAAUUUGCUGAUUUUGUUUGUUCCCCCCUUUUUUGCGGAGUGUGUUUCUGUAGUUUUUUACACCUUAUGUAAUUUUGUAAUUUUGGAAGUAUUGCCAAUACUAUGAAAAGGUUUGGUUCAUGAAUUUCCUGUGAAUUUAAAAAAUUG